rnacentral:rRNA from 1 species
AUGGCGUCGGGUGGAGAUCUCCCAUCCGGGUUCGCUGAUGAGAGCAAAAGUACAAAAACAGAAGGAUCAUCCAACGAAUGUCAAGGGGUCCCUCCAGCUGCCGCUGCAGGCUUGUCGGGUCCUUUCGAUUUUUCUUCUAUGCAAAGUUUGCUCAAUGAUCCAUCUAUAAAGGAGAUGGCGGACCAGAUUGCAAGGGACCCUGCAUUCAAUCAGAUGGCUGAGCAGCUACAGAAAGGUGCUCAGACUGCAGGAGAACAGGGCAUGCCUCCAUUGGAUCCUCAUCAAUACAUGGAAACAAUGCAAAAGGUCAUGGAAAACCCUCAGUUUAUGACAAUGGCAGAGCGCCUCGGGACUGCUCUUAUGCAGGAUCCUACUAUGUCCAGUAUGCUGGAAAAUUUGACUAGUCCAACACAUAAGGAGGAGCUUGAAGAGCGCAUGUCUCGGAUUAAGGAAGAUCCAGCCUUGAAGCCAAUUCUUGAUGAGUUAGAGAAUGGUGGUCCUGCUGCAAUGAUAAAGUACUGGAAUGACCCUGAAACUCUUCAAAAGAUUGGCCAGGCAAUGGGAACUACCAUGCCGUUUAGCACUGUCUCUACUGCUGAACCUUCUGGUACUGAAGAAACUGAAGAAGAAGGUGAAGAUGAAGACGAAUCCAUUGUCCACCACACUGCCAGUGUUGGUGACGGUGAGGGUCUGAAGAAGGCUCUAGAUGGUGGAGCAGACAAGGAUGAAGAAGACUCUGAGGGAAGAAGGGCCUUGCACUUUGCAUGUGGAUAUGGUGAGUUCAAGUGUGCGGAAAUCCUCCUUGAGGCGGGUGCUGCUGUAGAUGCCAUGGAUAAGAACAAGAACACCCCACUGCAUUACGCUGCUGGCUAUGGCCGGAAAGAGUGUGUGGAUCUUCUGUUGAAGCACGGUGCUGCUGUCACUCUCCAAAACAUGGAUGGGAAGACGCCCAUCGACGUCGCCAAGCUCAACAACCAGGACGAGGUCCUCAAGCUGCUCGAGAAGGACGUGUUCCUGUAA